rnacentral:rRNA from 1 species
UUUUAUGGAGAGUUUGAUCCUGGCUCAGGACGAACGCUGGCGGCGUGCUUAACACAUGCAAGUCGAACG